AUUGAACGCUGGCGGCAUGCUUUACACAUGCAAGUCGAACGGUAACAGGGAGCUUGCUCCGCUGACGAGUGGCGAACGGGUGAGUAAUAUAUCGGAACGUACCCAGAAGUGGGGGAUAACGUAGCGAAAGUUACGCUAAUACCGCAUACGAUCCACGGAUGAAAGUAGGGGACCUUCGGGCCUUAUGCUUUUGGAGCGGCCGAUAUCUGAUUAGCUAGUUGGUGAGGUAAAGGCUCACCAAGGCGACGAUCAGUAGCUGGUCUGAGAGGACGACCAGCCACACUGGAACUGAGACACGGUCCAGACUCCUACGGGAGGCAGCAGUGGGGAAUUUUGGACAAUGAGCGCAAGCCUGAUCCAGCAAUGCCGCGUGAGUGAAGAAGGCCUUCGGGUUGUAAAGCUCUUUUGUCAGGGAAGAAACGGGAGUGGCUAAUAUCCAUUCUUAAUGACGGUACCUGAAGAAUAAGCACCGGCUAACUACGUGCCAGCCGCCGCAGUAACAC
rnacentral:rRNA from 1 species